AGAGUUUGAUCCUGGCUCAGAUUGAACGCUGGCGGCAUGCCUAACACAUGCAAGUCGAACGGGUUGUAGCAAUACAACUAGUGGCGGACGGGUGAGGAAUACAUAGGAAUUUGCCUUUAGGUGGGGGAUAGUCCGGGGAAACUCGGUCUAAUACCGCAUGAUGUCGCAAGACCAAAGCAGGGGAUCGCAAGACCUUGCGCCUUUAGAGAAGCCUAUGUCGGAUUAGCUAGUUGGUAGGGUAAUGGCCUACCAAGGCUACGAUCCGUAACUGGUCUGAGAGGACGAUCAGUCACACCGGAACUGAGACACGGUCCGGACUCCUACGGGAGGCAGCAGUGGGGAAUAUUGGACAAUGGGCGCAAGCCUGAUCCAGCAAUGCCGCGUGUGUGAAGAAGGCCUUCGGGUUGUAAAGCACUUUAGGCUGGGAAGAAAAAGCUUCACCUAAUACGUGAAGCCUUGACGGUACCAGCGGAAUAAGCACCGGCUAACUCUGUGCCAGCAGCCGCGGUAAUACAGAGGGUGCUAGCGUUAAUCGGAUUUACUGGGCGUAAAGCGUGUGUAGGCGGUUCGUUAAGUCGGAUGUGAAAGCCCUGGGCUCAACCUAGGAAUUGCAUUCGAUACUGGCGAGCUAGAGUACGGUAGAGGGCGGCGGAAUUCCGGGUGUAGCGGUGAAAUGCGUAGAUAU
rnacentral:rRNA from 1 species